AUUAUUUUGGCAGAUUAGUGCGAUAGGUUUAGAACUUAUAUAUGUAAUAUUUACAAAUAAUA
rnacentral:tRNA from 2 species